rnacentral:rRNA from 1 species
CCUACGGGUGGCAGCAGUGAGGAAUAUUGGUCAAUGGACGAGAGUCUGAACCAGCCAAGUAGCGUGAAGGAUGACUGCCCUAUGGGUUGUAAACUUCUUUUAUAUGGGAAUAAAACGUUCCACGUGUGGGAUUUUGUAUGUACCAUAUGAAUAAGGAUCGGCUAACUCCGUGCCAGCAGCCGCGGUAAUACGGAGGAUCCGAGCGUUAUCCGGAUUUAUUGGGUUUAAAGGGAGCGUAGGUGGAUUGUUAAGUCAGUUGUGAAAGUUUGCGGCUCAACCGUAAAAUUGCAGUUGAAACUGGCAGUCUUGAGUACAGUAGAGGUGGGCGGAUUUCGUGGUGUAGCGGUGAAAUGCUUAGAUAUCACGAAGAACUCCGAUUGCGAAGGCAGUUCACUGGACUGCAACUGACACUGAGGCUCGAAAGUGUGGGUAUCAAACAGGAUUAGAUACCCCAGUAGUC